CUAAAGAAGAAGAAGAAGGGCGGCUGCAGAAAAGCUCAGUUGCCGGAGGGACACCGUCGAUGCCGCAUCGGAGCCAUCACCAACACCGAAAAGAUAAAAUUUUUCCUCUUUCUGCUCGAAAUUGGAUUUGGAACCUCCCCACACCUAUAUCAGAGUCAAAAGGCCAAAGGGUGAGCCAGAAAAAUGCAAGCAGAACUCGGCCGAGCUGUCGCAGCCGCAACCCGAAAAAUUCUCUCCCAUGAACCCCUUCCUGUAAUGCCCGGGCCCUGUCAUGCAACCCAGUCCGUCUGUAUCAAAAAAAAAGGAAGAAACCCGAAGAGAGAGAGGGAGGCCAUCGGCAGAAGGAAAGAUGGCAUAGAGGAAGAGAAGGAGAGAGGGAAACAGAACCACGAAGCAAGGCCAGACAUAAGAAGAAAUCGGAGGGUGAUUUCCGUGAAGGCUAGGCUGAAAGAUGGUCAAAUCCUCCGACGGAAGUGCAGGUUAGCCGAAGAGAAACCCCGAUCGCAAGAAAGGAACGGCGGAGCCGCCAUACUGGGAAACUCCUCUGCCGGUAGAGUCUCGGUUUUUCCCUUUUCCGGCCGACAGAGGCCCCAUAAUCCUGUUUUUUGCAGGUUUUCAUGCAAAAUCGGCCAAAACCAGCAAAAAAUGGCCAGACUGAGAGGAAGUACAGCCGUAGGCAGUGGAGCUGGCACUAGAGCAUGGCGUCGACACUGUGGUGGAACCCUAAACUGGACAGAAAAAUUUAAAAAUGUUUAUUUUAACUUUUUUGGGGUAUUUUGGAAUACGUAACGCUUGUUUUUUAUUUUCGUAGAAAAAAUUUAGAAAAUUCGAGAAUCGUCAAAAGGCGCAGGAAAAAAGACAGUAUUUCGAAUA